GAUUUUUUAAUAAUUGGCUUACAUUAUCUUUGUCAAGAUUUCUGUAGGAAAAAAUGUUUAAAAUUGACUGUAUUACAAAAGAACUUAAUUGCAUUCAUUCCAGUUAUAUCCCAGGUUUCCCUCUGAUAUUAUAUAUUCUGAAGCAAAUACUAGGUUUGGGAAAGAUCAAUUCUGAUUUUUUCCUCCAAGACAUCAGCCUUUUAACUUAUCUUACUGUAAAUUCUAAACUCAUAUACACAAAGUGGAAAAGCUAGCAUAUAUUUCCCAUCUUUUUUUGUGUAAGGCUUUCUGUUCAGUAGCUAUAGUAUUGAAUCCACUUUCCAAUCCAUCUAUCCAGCUUCUCUACAAUCAAAAUGCAGCAAAAUUGGCAUCCAGGAAAUGGAGCAUUGCAAUCCAUGGAGUGACAGUUUGCCUACCUCAGCAUUUUGAGCAGCUGUGAAUAACAGAGGACUAUGUGCACAUCCCAUGUAAGGGCUGAAAGGCUGGCUACUGAAGAGAUUAUCACACUGAAGGCUGUGGCAGAGCUUCUCCAAGAAGCGUAGGACAAACGAUGCACUGUUUACAGAAGGAAGAUUGAUGGUGUGCUUUUCCCCAUCAAAGGAAGCUGUGAAUAAGAAGAUUAUGUCAAACACCCCCAAGCAUCAUGAAAUAUAGUAAAACACCAUCAUUAACUUAAAGGAGAAGACAGCCAGACUUGAUUUAAACCAUGCAAGACAUGAGAGGAGUAAACAAUCAUUCUGAUAGUUAAAAAAAUUUAUAUCCAAAGGACUGAUUUCACCUUCAAUGGGAUCCAUGUCCGUUUAAAUUUGCUCUAUGGGAACUUAUUUUAAUAAAAUAAUUUUGGAUUCACACCAGUAUAACAAAACUUACAACUACCCCCUCACCACUUUAUGUGGAAUUUCCAUUGCUUUUAAAGCAGCAAGCUCUCCACCACCUCUUUGCAAAAGAUAGCACAAGAAAGACCUUUUACAAUACUUGCUAAAAAAAUACCCCAAAGUCCUCCAAAAAAAAAAAAAUCAACAAAAAGCCUGAACAGUUAUUAAAAAAAAAAAAAAGCCAAAAAACCCCUAAAGAAAUUAAACCAUUUUAGUAUUUUUUUUCUCGGUUUCUAACUGAAUGGAGAAUACUUGUGGUAAGGUGCUGGCAUCCACUACCAUUUAAAUUUUGACUCAGAAAUUGUUUUGCCAUUUGCUAUUUUAUCCCUAGAGAAAUCUAUCCUGCUGUCAACACUACAGUGGCCAAGCACCCAUUUAUUUCAACAGGAGUUAGGUGGCAGAGAUACCACAGCAGCCACAAAUGGAUCUGUUGUCUUUUAAACUGAGUGAUUACAAAGAGUCUGGACAGGUGCCUAUGUCUUUUCCUUGCCCUCAAACAGUAUGGCAGCUGAGGAUAAUUUUCUUUUUUGUGAAAAUUAGUAAGGUUUGGAAAAGACUCAAUACUACAGAUACAUGCAUAAAUAAUUACCAUUACAUCAGCUAAAAUUUUUAGUCACUUGUGAUUAGGAAGACUUUAGAACAAAGCAGGAACAAACUCGCAACUUAAGCUUAGGGCUGAAAAGAAGUGGCAUAAACACCAGGUUUAUGCAUCAAUUUGUCUUUUUGGUUUUCAGCCUGUCAUGCAGCUUUCUGUUGUUAACAUAAGUUUCCAAAUGAUAAGCAGAGCUUUAAAUGAUCACAUUUUGUUGGUAGCAGAUGCUAAAAAAAAAAAAAAAAAAAAAGAAAAAAGCCAGAAACGACAAGAAAGCCUUUACUCACAGAUCUGAAUUCAGGAAUAUUUCCAUAUUGUUACAAAAGAGACAGAUAAUAUACACAAAACCAAAGAAAAUGCCUAAGUCUAGCAUAUUUUAGACUUCUUUAGGAAAUCUGAAGUGUCAAUUAUUUACACUGUUGAUGUAAGGAAGCUUCUGAUUAGGGUUAAUGUGACUUAACCAGCCAGCAUCAACAACAAUGUGCUGCCUCUCCCACCUGCUUUCAUAGCAGACUGACCAGUUCAAGUGCUUCAAGUUUAAGAGUCAGUACUACAAGACUGAAGUGUUUCCAUGGCCUAUUAGGUUUUUUCCAGGCUCCAGUGUCCAAAUGAAAUGCUAAUGAUUAACAGUCCCUCAUGUCGCUCAGACACAAGGUCCUCUACAUCCUGUUUGGGGAAGGAGUCUCCAAAAGCAAAUUUUUGCUUGGAACUCAACCAGUUCUGGAGAGCAAAUGGGCUGUGAGACCUACCAUAGAUUGACCUCCUGACAAAUUUACUGCAAGGCAGUAGUCAGCUACAGCAGAAAAUUAUGCUCUAGAAUAGCCUUAUGGAUCUUCCUAUAUGGCCUUUGGGGAAAUGACUUAUUCUAUACCCCUUAAUUUGUCAUUUUGAAAAAAAAAAAACAUUGAAAAGAACAGUGUUACUCAGGAGUUGUCAAGAGGACAAAGCAAGAAACAGCUGAGGUGUUUUGACUGCCCCACCAAAACGUUCCCUGAAAAAAAUCCACAAAUAAAGAUGCAGUACAACCACAGUUUCCCCAGACUCUUAACAUCUGAGGGCAACCAUACAAACUCCAACCACGGGUGUGGGAUCCAGAUCCACAGGCUCAACUGUCUACUCUGCCUACUUCCCAGAUAAAUGCUAAGGGAAAAAAAUAAAAAGGAGUAUCUCUGAGGCAAUAACCUAAUUUUAAUGAUACAUAAACAGGGACUGCAGAUUGCACGUGCAACCCCAGCCCUCAGGAUAAAGAGUCAUACUCGUUCUUCACCUUCCAUUCUUUAAAAAUGUUUUACAUACCAGGUUCAAGCUGGGAAAAAGACUGAGAACAAAACAAUCAGAGAAAACAGUCAGAGAAAUGGGUUUUUCUGAUAGUGAUGAAACUCAUCCUAGAAUCUGAUUUUAAUUCACUGCUUGAGAAAAUUUAUCUGAGCCUCAAUCUGUUUCAUCCCACCAAACACCAUAGUCUCUGUGCUACAAAGAGAAAAAAGGAGCUGACAUCACCACCAUUAGUGGGUUUGCUAAUCAAGCCUUUAAUUUCCUUUCUGUUUUAUUUGCCUGAAUUGAAAGCUUAUGCAUUAAGUAAAAAUAAAAUAGUUUUGCUUUUGUUUGAGAAGGAAAAGAUUGAAAAAUACUAAAUUUAAUGUUACUCAAAACAAUUAUUUUCUUUGGUAGCUGAAGCAAAAGAACCCAUUAAUUAUUCCAUGCAUUCUGGCAAGAUUAUUUUAUCCAUAUCCUCCUCAGCACACUGUUUCCUCCUAUGGCAGGUAUAAUACUUUCUACAAAAGCAUCAGUUCACAGAAGACUUAGAUUUCUUUGUUUAUUCUCUGCCACAACAUUUUUUUUAAUUGACAGUCUCAAAAAAAAAAAAAAAACCCAUCAAAACCUGAAAAACAAGCCACCCUCCAAACCCACUUCAAAACUAAAGGGCUACAACUGUAUUUCCUUAUUUUAUUCUACUGUUUCUUCCCUCUUCUUCCUUACUAUUCAUGUGCACAGCUAGAUGUAAUGUGCUACAUUAAUCUAAGUCAUAUUUUAUGCUUCACAAAACUUACCACACACAAAUUUUUGAUAAAAUGACAGGGAGUGUUUGCUCAGCCACUUGUCAGCUACCUGUUUGACAAGCAAGGAGAAGCAAGAGCUCAAGAACACUAGAAACCCACUGGGGCCUUGUGGCUUACUAUUAACCAGACCAGGAUUCUUGCCUAUGGAGCAGUCCACAUCACCAGGUUCCUCAAAUCCAGAAUACAGGCCUUGGGGUGAAGCCAGGUGCACAACAGUAAAUCCUUUUUUUAUGGAAUUUUUGAAUGCAAACAAGCCACAACUAUGUAAGGAAUCUGAAAUUUCUCUCUCCUGUUCAAAGUUAUUAUUUCCAAUUACUCAGUCACAGCCCAGAGAUGCCACUGGCCUGUGAUUUAGCCCUUGAUGAUAAACAAUCACAAACAGAAUAUUGGCAACGAACAUCUCAGGGCAUUUUGCUGUAGAAAAUUGACUUGUCUGAAAUAGGUACAGCAAGGCAUAAAUAAUGUAACAAACUUUCAUAUAUAUUGAAAAAAUAAAGCAGUACCAGUUUCAGAACUACAUAUAUAUGAUGCCAUUAAACCUCUACUACACAGCAGAGAAGCAGCAUCCAUUUUGUGCACAAACUCAGGGGGAUGCCUAAGCAAAGCUCACUGUAGUUCUGCCAUACACAGGUUGGGGUGCUGCUCUUUAUAAGUAGAGUUAGACAGCAACAUCUUUAUGAAUAUUUAACUGAACCUCUAUUCCUCUAAUCAUCUAUCACAUCUGGUGUUAAUGUUAAGAGAUUAAAGGAAUGGCAGGUCUUUUACCACCACUGAUGGAAUUAUGAAUUGAUGUGUUAACUGUUAUACAUAGAAUAUUUCCUAGCCUAGAAGGAAAAAAUGUCAAGCAACAGCUAUUCAGAUUGAGACAUAAUUUAUCUACAAACCUGCCAUCAAUAUGUAAUAGAAAUAAACCUAUUUCAUAAUAGGUGACUUAGGUGGAUGAAGAGUGACCUAAGAUACUGCUGCAGUUCUGGGGAAUGGGGCGAGGAAAACAGAAGCAACUUUAACAUGUGGAAUCACUUGCCUGGAAGCUAAACAGAUUAAUUUGAGACUUGUCACCCACUUGGUUAAUGCUUUAAGAACACAAACAUCAUGCAUGGAUAAGAUUAUGCGAAUGACUUGAACUAAUAAAGCUGAUUAUUUAACUUGUAGUAAGUUUACUUGACAAAUGUUUGGCUACAGCUGCUAAAGGAGGUACACAAGCUCUACUUAGUGUAAGAAACUAACUGUAUUGUGCAUUUGUAAUCUAAACACUGCUAUUGCUUAAAAAAAUGCUUAAUAAUAUUUUUAUUUACAUUUAAAAAAUUGUUCAAAUCAUGCUGAACUCAAGAGUAAGACAAAUCCUAUACCAUCAAGGUUCACACCUGUGUUUACACAGCCACAAAAGGGAUAUAAAUUCAUUGCAGCUACUUCAGUUCUUCUGCCCUACCUCAAGUUCAAUAAGUAAAGAAACAAAAGAAACAGAGCAUCUUCACAUACCAGUUAUCACUUCCCCUCCAUGAUGGCCAGAUUUCAGAAAUCCAAAGACUGUUUUGGCUUGAUAGGCACACUCCACACAAGCCUGCACAGCCUGCUGAAGUACCACAUUUACAGGACCUGGUCCAAAAUGGUCUGGAAGAUGCUGAACCUUCUUCUUAUCCAGGUGAGGCCCAGAAUUUCCAUGUUUGUUCACAUAAACACACACUGAAAAAGUACAAGCCAUAUUUACUACCAAGGAACCGAGACAUGUUUCCAAAUUAGAACUGCAAAUUGUCAUUUUAGUUUUAAUCCUGCAUAGAAGUUAUACUUGUCAACUCAAGAAGCUGAACGUGCACACAUACUUUCAGAGCAUGCAGAAAGUGCUCUUCUACCAAGGAAGAGCACUUCUUCUUCUUCUUCUCCUGACUGAAUCCUAAACUCACUUUUUUCCUGCAUUCUGAAGCCCUCUUCUACCUCACUAAUGUAACAAAGCUGACAUGAUCUGUGCUUGUGUUUUGACUAGUCUCUACUCAUACACUAGUUCAGUAAAGUACAAAUUACUGGCAGGUACUCCAAACUGCCAAGUCACAAUUCUACAAAGCAGGCCUUACCAAGUUACUGCCUAAUUUUUUUCCUAUUUGAGAAGCUGCAACAUAGAGAACCCUAUGUUAUAUACCUGCCACUGAUGCUCAUUCUGAAGCAUCCAUAUGGCACUAACAUAUACAUCACACAGUGUGGCUACCAAAGGCCUGUAGCUUCAGAAGACCUGAACCACUCACAGGAUUUCCAUGCUGCAAUGUGGCUUGUCUGCUAAAUAAACACUUCUUUACAAACACUGUAAGGUGGUUUAAAGUGUAGCACAAAACAAUCAUAUAGGACUCUUGUAACUGCUUUUUUAAAAGACAAUAUGAAACUGUCUUCCAAAACAAUUGCCAAGGCAGAAGAACAUGGGAAACAUGUAAAUGAUGAUUUUUUUUUCUUGUUCAUUCUGGCUGCCACAUGCCCAUGAAUGCACCCAAGACAUUAUUACAGCUUAAUGAAAAAAUGUGCCUCUGUGGUGAUUGAGCAAUCUAAACAUUCUAUUACACAAAGGACUGACAUAUUUUCUGAACUGUAGUUUGAUUUUAGAUAAAAAUCCUGAGCAUUUAAAAAUAAAGUAUGUAUUUUAA